rnacentral:rRNA from 1 species
AUAAGAGUUUGAUCCUGGCUCAGAUUGAACUCUGGCGGCAUGCCUAACACAUGCAAGUCGAACGGUAGCAGCGGGAGCUUGCUCCUGGCUGACGAGUACGGUGAGUAACGCGUAGGAAUCUACCUGAUAGAUGGGGACAACUCAGGGAAACUUGAGCUAAUACCGAAUACGCCCUACGGGGGAAAGCGGGGGAUCUUCGGACCUCGCGCUAUCAGAUGAGCCUGCGUUGGAUUAGCUAGUUGGUGAGGUAAUGGCUCACCAAGGCGACGAUCCAUAGCUGGUCUGAGAGGACGAUCAGCCACACUGGGACUGAGACACGGCCCAGACUCCUACGGGAGGCAGCAGUGGGGAAUAUUGGACAAUGGGCGAAAGCCUGAUCCAGCAAUGCCGCGUGUGUGAAGAAGGCCUGAGGGUUGUAAAGCACUUUCAGUAGGGAAGAAAGGUCAAGCGUUAAUAGCGCUAGGCUUGACGUUACCUACAGAAGAAGCACCGGCUAACUCCGUGCCAGCAGCCGCGGUAAUACGGAGGGUGCGAGCGUUAAUCGGAAUUACUGGGCGUAAAGCGCACGUAGGCGGUUUUGUAAGUCGAAUGUGAAAGCCCUGGGCUUAACCUGGGAACUGCAUUCGAUACUGCAUAACUAGAGUAUAACAGAGGGUGGUAGAAUAUCCUGUGUAGCGGUGAAAUGCGUAGAUAUAGGAAGGAAUACCAGUGGCGAAGGCGGCCACCUGGACUGAUACUGACGCUGAGGUGCGAAAGCGUGGGGAGCGAACAGGAUUAGAUACCCUGGUAGUCCACGCCGUAAACGAUGUCAACUAGCCGUAGGGAUCCUUGAGGUCUUUGUGGCGCAGCUAACGCCAAUAAGUUCACCGCCUGGGGAGUACGGCCGGAAGGUUAAAACUCAAAUGAAUUGACGGGGGCCCGCACAAGCGGUGGAGCAUGUGGUUUAAUUCGAUCCAACGCGAAGAACCUUACCUGGUCUUGACAUCCUGCGAACUUUAUAGAGAUAGAUUGGUGCCUUCGGGAACGCAGUGACAGGUGCUGCAUGGCUGUGGUCAGCUCGUGUUGUGAUAUGUUGGGUUAUGUCCCGUAACGACCGCAACCCUUGUCCUUAGUUGCUAACAGGUUAAGCUGAGAACUUUAAGGAGACUGCCGGUGACAAACCGGAGGAAGGUGGGGACGACGUCAAGUCAUCAUGGCCCUUACGACCAGGGCUACACACGUGCUACAAUGGGUCGUACAGAGGGUUGCUAAGCCGCGAGGUGGAGCUAAUCCCACAAAACGACUCGUAGUCCAGAUUGGAGUCUGCAACUCGACUCCAUGAAGUCGGAAUCGCUAGUAAUCGUGAAUCAGAAUGUCACGGUGAAUACGUUCCCGGGCCUUGUACACACCGCCCGUCACACCAUGGGAGUGGGUUGCACCAGAAGUAGCUAGACUAACCUUCGGGAGGUCGGUUACCACGGUGUGGUUCAUGACUGGGGUGAAGUCGGAACAAGGUAACCAAU